GAGUUUGAUCCUGGCUCAGGAUGAACGCUAGCGGCAGGCUUAACACAUGCAAGUCGAGGGGUAACGGGGAAGCUUGCUUCCGCCGACGACCGGCGCACGGGUGCGUAACGCGUAUACAAUCUACCUUGUACUGGGGUAUAGCCUUUAGAAAUGAAGAUUAAUCCCCCAUAGUCUCUUAGAGUGGCAUCACUUCUAGAGUAAAGGUUACGGUAUAAGAUGAGUAUGCGUUCUAUUAGUUUGUUGGUGUGGUAACGGCACACCAAGACUACGAUAGAUAGGGGCCCUGAGAGGGGGAUCCCCCACACUGGUACUGAGACACGGACCAGACUCCUACGGGAGGCAGCAGUGAGGAAUAUUGGACGAUGGAGGCAACUCUGAUCCAGCCAUGCCGCGUGCAGGAAGACUGCCCUAUGGGUUGUAAACUGCUUUUAUACAGGAAGAGACACCUCUACGUGUAGAGGCUUGACGGUACUGUAAGAAUAAGGAUCGGCUAACUCCGUGCCAGCAGCCGCGGUAAUACGGAGGAUCCAAGCGUUAUCCGGAAUCAUUGGGUUUAAAGGGUCCGUAGGUGGAUAACUAAGUCAGAGGUGAAAUCUUGCAGCUCAACUGUAAAAUUGCCUUUGAAACUGGUUAUCUUGAGUUAUUAUGAAGUAGUUAGAAUAUGUAGUGUAGCGGUGAAAUGCAUAGAUAUUACAUAGAAUACCAAUUGCGAAGGCAGAUUACUAAUAAUUAACUGACACUGAUGGACGAAAGCGUGGGCAGCGAACAGGAUUAGAUACCCUGGUAGUCCACGCCGUAAACGAUGGUUACUAGCUGUUUGGACUUCGGUCUGAGUGGCUAAGCGAAAGUGAUAAGUAACCCACCUGGGGAGUACGUUCGCAAGAAUGAAACUCAAAGGAAUUGACGGGGGCCCGCACAAAGCGGUGGAGCAUGUGGUUUAAUUCGAUGAUACGCGAGGAACCUUACCAGGGCUUAAAUGUAAGUUGCAUUAGCUAGAGAUAGCUAUUUCUUCGGACCACUUACAAGGUGCUGCAUGGUUGUCGUCAGCUCGUGCCGUGAGGUGUCAGGUUAAGUCCUAUAACGAGCGCAACCCCUGUUGUUAGUUGCCAGCGAGUCAUGUCGGGAACUCUAACAAGACUGCCAGUGCAAACUGUGAGGAAGGUGGGGAUGACGUCGAAUCAUCACGGCCCUUACGUCCUGGGCUACACACGUGCUACAAUGGUAGGUACAGAGAGCAGCCACUGCGCGAGCAGGAGCGAAUCUAUAAAACCUAUCACAGUUCGGAUCGGAGUCUGCAACUCGACUCCGUGAAGCUGGAAUCGCUAGUAAUCGGAUAUCAGCCAUGAUCCGGUGAAUACGUUCCCGGGCCUUGUACACACCGCCCGUCAAGCCAUGGAAGUUGGAAGUGCCUGAAGUCCGUCACCGCAAGGAGCGGCCUAGGGUAAAGUCGAUAACUACGGCUAAGUCGUAACAAGGUAACC
rnacentral:rRNA from 1 species